rnacentral:rRNA from 1 species
AUUGAACGCUGGCGGCAUGCUUUACACAUGCAAGUCGAACGGUAACAGGGUGCUUGCACCGCUGACGAGUGGCGAACGGGUGAGUAAUGCAUCGGAACGUACCCAGUCGUGGGGGAUAACGUAGCGAAAGUUACGCUAAUACCGCAUACGUCCUGAGGGAGAAAGCGGGGGACCGUAAGGCCUCGCGCGAUUGGAGCGGCCGAUGUCGGAUUAGCUAGUUGGUAGGGUAAAGGCCUACCAAGGCGACGAUCCGUAGCGGGUCUGAGAGGAUGAUCCGCCACACUGGGACUGAGACACGGCCCAGACUCCUACGGGAGGCAGCAGUGGGGAAUUUUGGACAAUGGGCGAAAGCCUGAUCCAGCCAUGCCGCGUGAGUGAAGAAGGCCUUCGGGUUGUAAAGCUCUUUCAGAUGGAAAGAAAACGUACAGGUUAAUACCUUGUGCGGAUGACGGUACCAUCAGAAGAAGCACCGGCUAACUACGUGCCAGCAGCCGCGGUAAUACGUAGGGUGCGAGCGUUAAU